rnacentral:rRNA from 1 species
AUUGAACGCUGGCGGCAUGCUUUACACAUGCAAGUCGAACGGUAACAGGCCGCCAGGUGCUGACGAGUGGCGCACGGGUGAGUAAUGCAUCGGAACGUGCCCAGUCGUGGGGGAUAACUACUCGAAAGAGUAGCUAAUACCGCAUACGAUCUAUGGAUGAAAGCGGGGGACCGUAAGGCCUCGCGCGAUUUGAGCGGCGGAUGUCAGAUUAGGUAGUUGGUGGGGUAAAGGCUCACCAAGCCAACGAUCUGUAGCUGGUCUGAGAGGACGACCAGCCACACUGGGACUGAGACACGGCCCAGACUCCUACGGGAGGCAGCAGUGGGGAAUUUUGGACAAUGGGCGCAAGCCUGAUCCAGCAAUGCCGCGUGCAGGAAGAAGGCCUUCGGGUUGUAAACUGCUUUUGUACGGAACGAAACGGCUCUGGUUAAUACCCGGGGCUAAUGACGGUACCGUAAGAAUAAGCACCGGCUAACUACGUG